GGGUCAGUAGGUUGGUCGUGCCACCGGUACGUACUGGUCUCACUGAUUCCUCCUUCCUGAAGAGCCGUAAUGCCAUUAAUUUGGUGUUGCGGGGAAACAGGACUGUUACUUUGAAAAAAUUAGAGUGUUUAAAGCAAGCUAACGCUUGAAUACGUUAGCAUGGAAUAAUGAAAUAGGACGAUCGAUCCUAUUUUGUUGGUUUCUAGGAUUGACGUA
rnacentral:rRNA from 1 species